GUUGGAGCCUGACCGAGGCCGCCCGAGCGGUCCGUACACCGUGCAGCUAUUUCUGGUUCUACUACACAACUCUCCCGUAUCUCGCCGACCGGCUACUGGUGAUGGUGGUUGUGCUAUACAGACGGAGGAUAUCUUAGCAGGCGCUUGUUGUUACUACUGCUAGCGGAUUCUGUUAUGUCGUGUGAUGUGGGUCGCUUUUGCAUAGAGUGGUGUUAGUGAAUGCGAAGAUUUCAAUCCGCUUCUUCACCCUACAACGACGAUGUCACCAACGCACGCACCCUCUCUUCUCUUCGUUGCGCCCCCAACUACCGUCGAACAUUCGCAUUCAUGCUACCGCCGCCCAACGGUACGGAAAUUCAAGACUCGGAAGGUCACACAUACUAGGUCUCACGCCUCCGAAAAAGCAACAAGUAACGGCGCUUAUCAGCGAUAAUGAGCGGCAGAUAAGUGUAAAGUGAUGGUGGAAUAUGUGUAACCCAAACCACCACCCUUGCUGUAAAGCUCCACCAAACCAAUCGGGAACCAGAGUGCCACAGUACACGCACAAUCGGAACGUUUUAUCUGGUUGGAUUGAAAGUUAAACCAGAACAGAAUUAAGGGAUGAAUACCUUCUUAAUAUCUGGUGGGAUUGAUAGAUAACAACAACAAAACAGUGACAAACGGAUAAAAGUGAUGUUGAAAUACAUGCCUACCAUGAUCA